rnacentral:pre_miRNA from 16 species
UUCUUUGGUGAUCUAGCUGUAUGGAUAAUAAUUUUAUUCCAUAAAGCUAUUUUACCGAUGUC